rnacentral:rRNA from 2 species
UACAGAGGUCUCAACCGUUGUUCGGAUUCAUUGGGCGUAAAGGGUGCGUAGGCGGUCGUGUAAGUCGGAUGUGAAAUCUCAGGGCUCAACCCUGAAACUGCAUUCGAUACUGCAUGGCUAGGGUACUGGAGAGGAGACUGGAAUUUACGGUGUAGCAGUGAAAUGCGUAGAUAUCGUAAGGAAGACCAGUGGCGAAGGCGAGUCUCUGGACAGUUACCGACGCUGAGGCACGAAGGUCAGGGGAGCAAACGGG